CCCCUGGUGGCUCAGAGGUUAAAGCGUCUGCCUGGAAUGCAGGAGACCUGGGAAUGCAGGAGACCCAGGUUCGAUCCCUGGGUCGGGAA
rnacentral:tRNA from 1 species